CAUGGACAAUGCAAUUGGAUAAGGUCAACGCGUAAGUCAGCAGAGAGAAUGGAUAAGUGAGCAGUGAUGUGAUGAUGGGGACGUGUGAAUGCACUUGAUGAAUCAGUGGAUAAAGGCGUACGUGCAAAAUGAAAUACAUAAAAUUCAGACCAAAGUAUGGACACACAUUAUCUCCAUCUUCUUGUUCCGUUUCCAUUAUGUUCUCCCUCCGCCAUGCCAGAGGCUGUCUCCGGCGGCGGACCGGCUCUCCACUCAAACAAAUAACAUUAAUCAAACUGAAAUCAUGCGAUGAAUCUGAAUCCACCAAUGGAUUUUCCUAAUUUCUUCUAAACUGUUCGAAUUGAAACAAAAGUUUGAUGAACCCUAACAUCUAAUCUUGAAAUUAAAUCCUCCAAUGGAGGAAUCAAAGUCCCUAGGGUUAGGGCUUUGAUUCCUCUACUCAAAACCUACACAUCAGUAUCAAUUGCGAUGACAAACGAAGAGUGAAAGGAAACGUACCGAUGGAGGUCAGCAUGGGACGAGUUCGAAGCACCACAAAGAUGAUGAAGACGACCGCGACGAACAAUCUCUAUUCAAGUACCUCUUGUAUCUGCGAAUUCUUCCCUUCUCCAUAUUCUAUCUUCUUCUUCUGAAAUCUCUUUAAUUUGUUGGAUCAAUUGUUGUGGAGAAAAACCAGCAGUUACAUAAUUUUCACAGGAUUAGAGUUAACAUAAGUGAGUGUAUGAGGAAGAAGUAGAAGACGACGUGACAGGAGUUGGAUUUGGAAAGUUCAUAGCUCGAUAAUUGAUACAUCAGCAACAGCACUGAGGCUUUGUUUGUGGUUAUGUAUUUGGUUUCAUUUUUGGCAUGCCAUGUUGAAAUAUCAAUCGGUUACUUUGGUUGUUUAUGAAAGCUUUGGUUGUAAUGGAAUUUAAGUCACUUAUAAUCACUUAUGUCAAACAAUGCUUAUGUAAUGCAACUUAACUUGUGAUUCGAAAUUCAAGUCAAAUUCCACUUCUUGGUAUGAAAUGUAUGAAAUGUUGUAUGA